CCUACGGGAGGCAGCAGUGGGGAAUAUUGCACAAUGGGGGAAACUCUGAUGCAGCGACGCCGCGUGAGUGAUGAAGUAUCUCGGUAUGUAAAGCUCUAUCAGCAGGGAAGAAAAUGACGGUACCUGACUAAGAAGCACCGGCUAACUACGUGCCAGCAGCCGCGGUAAUACGUAGGGGGCAAGCGUUAUCCGGAUUUACUGGGUGUAAAGGGAGCGUAGGCGGUGUUGCAAGUCCGGGGUGAAAGCCCAUGGCUUAACCAUGGGACUGCCCUUGGAACCGUGCGGCUAGAGUGCGGGAGGGGCAGGCGGAAUUCCUGGUGUAGCGGUGGAAUGCGUAGAUAUCAGGAGGAACACCGGCGGCGAAGGCGGCCUACUGGACUGCGACUGACGUUGAGGCUCGAAAGCGUGGGGAGCGAACAGGAUUAGAUACCCGAGUAGUC
rnacentral:rRNA from 1 species